rfam:Brenneria goodwinii strain OBR1 genome assembly, contig: Contig
GCGAGUGUAGUUCAAUGGUAGAACGAGAGCUUCCCAAGCUCUAUACGAGGGUUCGAUUCCCUUCACUCGCU